GUGCACUUAGCUCAGUGGUUAGAGCACCCUUCUAAAGUUUGGGGGAAAACAGGUCACAGGUUUGAGUCCCAUAGUGCACA
rnacentral:tRNA from 1 species